rnacentral:rRNA from 1 species
UACAGAGGGUGCGAGCGUUAAUCGGAAUUACUGGGCGUAAAGCGUGCGCAGGCGGUUUUGUAAGCCAGAUGUGAAAUCCCCGGGCUCAACCUGGGAAUGGCAAUGGAGACUGCAAGGCUAGAGUUUGGCAGAGGGGGGUAGAAUUCCACGUGUAGCAGUGAAAUGCGUAGAUAUGCGGAGGAACACCGAUGGCGAAGGCAGUCCCCUGGGCCUGUACUGACGCUCAUGCACGAAAGCGUGGGGAGCAAACAGG